UACGUAGGGCGCGAGCGUUGUCCGGAUUUAUUGGGCGUAAAGAGCUCGUAGGCGGCUUGUCGCGUCGAAUGUGAAAUCCUGCGGCUCAACUGCAGGCUUGCAUUCGAUACGGGCAGGCUCGAGUUCGGUAGGGGAGACUGGAAUUCCUGGUGUAGCGGUGAAAUGCGCAGAUAUCAGGAGGAACACCGGUGGCGAAGGCGGGUCUCUGGGCCGAUACUGACGCUGAGGAGCGAAAGCGUGGGGAGCGAACAGG
rnacentral:rRNA from 1 species